UUGGGUUUGAGGUCGUGCCUUGCAGUGUAAGGCGUGAUGCUGAGGCCAUGUCCAAGCUCAAGAUGUACGACAAGGUUGACUCUGUGAACUGCCCAUUGGAGCUUGAGAAAUCUCAGGCGAUCCGUGAGAAUGAGCGGAUUACAUUUACCUAUGAGGUUGAGUAUGUCAAGAGCAACAUCAAGUGGCCAUCAAGGUGGGAUGCUUACCUGAAGAUGGAUGGUGCCAAGGUGCACUGGUUCUCGAUUAUGAACUCAAUGAUGGUUGUGUUCUUCCUGGCUGGCAUUGUGUUUGUCAUAUUCUUGAGGACUGUCCGCAGGGAUCUGACAAGAUAUGAGGAGAUGGACAAGGAAGCAC
rnacentral:lncRNA from 1 species